GAUGAACGCUGGCGGCGUGCCUAAUACAUGCAAGUCGAGCGAACAGAUGAGGAGCUUGCUCCUCUGACGUUAGCGGCGGACGGGUGAGUAACACGUGGAUAACCUACCUAUAAGACUGGGAUAACUUCGGGAAACCGGAGCUAAUACCGGAUAAUAUAUUGAACCGCAUGGUUCAAUAGUGAAAGACGGUUUUGCUGUCACUUAUAGAUGGAUCCGCGCCGCAUUAGCUAGUUGGUAAGGUAACGGCUUACCAAGGCAACGAUGCGUAGCCGACCUGAGAGGGUGAUCGGCCACACUGGAACUGAGACACGGUCCAGACUCCUACGGGAGGCAGCAGUAGGGAAUCUUCCGCAAUAGGCGAAAGCCUGACGGAGCAACGCCGCGUGAGUGAUGAAGGUCUUCGGAUCGUAAAACUCUGUUAUUAGGGAAGAACAAAUGUGUAAGUAACUAUGCACGUCUUGACGGUACCUAAUCAGAAAGCCACGGCUAACUACGUGC
rnacentral:rRNA from 1 species